rnacentral:rRNA from 1 species
UACGAGGGGGGCGAGCGUUGUUCGGAAUUAUUGGGCGUAAAGGGCGCGUAGGCGGUCGGAUAAGUCUUGUGUGAAAUCUUCGGGCUCAACUCGAAGUCUGCACAGGAAACUAUCUGGCUUGAGUGUGGGAGAGGUGAGUGGAAUUCCUGGUGUAGCGGUGAAAUGCGUAGAUAUCAGGAGGAACACCUGUGGCGAAAGCGGCUCACUGGACCACAACUGACGCUGAGGCACGAAAGCCAGGGGAGCAAACGGG